GAUGUUCAACCUUUUCUUUACUUCCAGCAUUUCCAACAACGUAGCAACCCAUCAACUUAGCAAACUGCCCAACAAGCUGACCAACUGCACCAGAUGCUGCUGAAACAUACACACGUUCUCCUUCCUUCGGAGAACAUAUAUCUGUUAAUCCAAAGUAAGCAGUGAUGCCAGGCAUUCCAAGAAGUCCAGUGUAGUAGGAAAGGGGAACAUCAGUAUGGGGAAUUUUAAAGAGUCUCUCAGGCUCUGUUAUAAGACUGUACUCUUCCCAGCCG
rnacentral:misc_RNA from 1 species